rnacentral:piRNA from 1 species
GGAGGGAAAAAGUCCUAUGAGGCAAAAGGC